CUGGUUCUCUUCCCCUGUUCCACUUACCAUCCGAUCUUUCAUCCUUGAGGGUUUUGAGGUUCUUCGGUUCUUCCAUCCACCGAUCACUAUAGGUACUCCAUGAGUCUGUCCAUCUCUAUUCUCUUCUCUAGCAACUUCUUCUCUGGUUCUCCGCCACAUUCCAUCUAGUCUUUGAGGGUUUUGAGGUUCUUCAGUUCUUCCAUCCACCGACCCCCGUUCCUUAGGGUUUCCAGGUUUUCUUCUAUUGACUAAACUACUAGCCUACCCAUUCACACCUUUGCCGCUUCCAUCAACUGAUCAACCAACUCCGAGCGGUGAGAGCCUGAAAUCUUGCUGCAUGGGAAAGAUUGACCUCUAAGGCUCUAAAUCCCUCUAGAUCGACAGACUCCGAGCUUCUUUCCUCAACGAUCUAGUCUUCCUCAAACCCUAACUCCCUCAAAAGUUAAAACCUCCAUCAGCUUCUUCAAGAUACCUCAUCUCAAAGACUAAAACCCUUUCUAUUCCGAUUUCUCUCCUCUGUCUCUUGAUUUUCCAUCCUUUCAGCAAGAACUAGAGAAUCUCCAAGGAAGAGAAGAAGAAGAUGCACGUGUGGUGUGGAUCCCUCUGCGAAGAAAGACUGGUAAGACCGUAAGAGUGGUGCUGCAGCAGCCACUGUGGCUCCUUCCAUUUCCACUGCCCUGCAGCCCAAAAAACCAAAAGAAAAAGCU